rnacentral:rRNA from 1 species
UAAAUACCGCAUACGUCCUACGGGAGAAAGCAGGGGACCUUCGGGCCUUGCGCUAUCAGAUGAGCCUAGGUCGGAUUAGCUAGUUGGUGAGGUAAUGGCUCACCAAGGCGACGAUCCGUAACUGGUCUGAGAGGAUGAUCAGUCACACUGGAACUGAGACACGGUCCAGACUCCUACGGGAGGCAGCAGUGGGGAAUAUGGACAAUGGGCGAAAGCCCUGAUCCAGCCAUGCCGCGUGUGUGAAGAAGGUCUUCGGAUUGUAAAGCACUUUAAGUUGGGAGGAAGGGUUGUAGAUUAAUACUCUGCAAUUUUGACGUUACCGACAGAAUAAGCACCGGCUAACUCUGUGC